GGGUAUUUUGACCGUGCUAAGGUAGCANAGUCAUUUGUUUUUNAAUUGAAAACUGGAAUGAAAGGUUGCUCUUAUUUUAAUUUUUGUCAAACUNAAAUAAUAAAUNAAAGUNAAGGUAAGAAUUCUUUAAUUUUCNAGGGGACGAUAAGACCCNAGAAGCUUUAUAUAAAGUUGUGCUUANAGGGAAAGCUAACAAAUUAUUUUACUGGGGCGGUAAAAAUAAAUUUACUAUUUUUGUGUAAAAGAUCUUUAAAAUUAAAANAAUUGGUAAUAGUUACUCUAGGGAUAACAGUGCAAUUUUUUNAGAAAGACCUUAUUGAUGAANAAGUUUGCAACCUCGAUGUUGAAUUAAGAUGUCUAAGUGAUGUAAAAGGUAUNAAAGAAGGUUUGUUCAACCUUNAAAGUCUUACANGAUCUGAGUUCAAACCGGA
rnacentral:rRNA from 1 species